rnacentral:misc_RNA from 1 species
GAUGAAGAACGUAGCGAAAUGCGAUUCGUAAUGUGAAUUGCAGAAUUCAGUGAAUCAUCGAAUCUUUGAACGCAUAUUGCGCUCUCUGGUAUUCCGGAGAGCAUGCUUGUUUGAGUAUCAGUAAACACCUCAACUUCCAUAUCUUUUUUGAAAUGGGAGUUGGACUUGAGUGAUCCCAACGCUUUUCCUCACCGAAAAGUGGCGGGUUACUUGAAAUGCAGGUGCAGCUGGACUUUUCUCUGAGCUAUAAGCAUAUCUAUUUAGUCUGCCUAAAAAACAGAUUAUUACCUUUGCUGCAGCUAACAUAAAGGAGAUUAGUUCUUGUGCUGACUGAUGCAGGAUUCACAAAGACGGCUUCGGCCGACUUUGUAAACUCGAUCUCAAAUCAAGUAAGACUACCCGCUGAACUUAAGCAUAUCAAUAAGCGGAGGA